CUUGGUCAUUUAGAGGAAGUAAAAGUCGUAACAAGGUUUCCGUAGGUGAACCUGCGGAAGGAUCAUUAAUGAAAUAAAUGUCGAAAAGGGUUGUAUAGCUGGCCUCUUGAGGCAUGUGCACACCUUUAUCGCGCAUCCAUAUCUUACACCUGUGCACAACCUGUAGCUUGGGAUGAUUACAAUACUGGAAACGGUAUUGAAAGCCCUCGCUAUGAAUUUUUAUACAACCGUAUUAAAAGUUAUAGAAUGUUUAAUGUUAUAGCGUGUAACAACGCGAAUAAAUAUACAACUUUCAGCAACGGAUCUCUUGGCUCUCGCAUCGAUGAAGAACGCAGCGAAAUGCGAUAAGUAAUGUGAAUUGCAGAAUUCAGUGAAUCAUCGAAUCUUUGAACGCACCUUGCGCUCCUUGGUAUUCUGAGGAGCAUGCCUGUUUGAGUGUCAUGAAACUCUCAACUGCUUCAGCUUUUGUGGUUGAAGUGAAGUUGGAUUUGGAGGAAUAAUUGCUGGCGUGACCUUCUUAGGUUGCUUGUUAGCUCCUCUUAAAUGGAUGAACUUUCUAGUAGUAAAGUAACACCAAUGUGAUAAUUAUCUGCGUUGGAUGAGCUUUUACAAGGAAAGAUAAAUCUGUCUUGAAGGGAAAACCUCUUGACGAAACAAAUGACAAAUUUGACCUCAAAUCAGGUAGGACUACCCGCUGAACUUAAGCAUAUCAAUAAGCGGAGGAAAAGAAACUAACAAGGAUUCCCCUAGUAACUGCGAGUGAAGCGGGAAAAGCUCAAAUUUAAAAUCUGGCGUUCCUUUGGUCGUCCGAGUUGUAGUCUGGAGAAGUGUUUUCCGCGCUGGACCGUGUACAAGUCCCUUGGAACAGGGCGUCAUAGAGGGUGAGAAUCCCGUCUUUGACAUGGACUACCAGUGCUUUGUGAUGCGCUCUCAAAGAGUCGAGUUGUUUGGGAAUGCAGCUCAAAAUGGGUGGUAAAUUCCAUCUAAAGCUAAAUACAGGCGAGAGACCGAUAGCGAACAAGUACCGUGAGGGAAAGAUGAAAAGCACUUUGGAAAGAGAGUUAAACAGUACGUGAAAUUGCUGAAAGGGAAACGCUUGAAGUCAGUCGCAUCUGCCAGGACUCAGCCUUGCUUCUGCUAGGUGCACUUUCUGGUUUGAUGGGCCAGCAUCGAUUUUGACCGUUGGAAAAAGGUUGAGGGAAUGUGGCACCUUUGGGUGUGUUAUAGACCUCUAUCGCAUACAACGGUUUGGAUCGAGGACCGCAGCAUGCCUUUAUGGCCGGGGUUCGCCCACGUACGUGCUUAGGAUGCUGGCGUAAUGGCUUUAAGCGACCCGUCUUGAAACACGGACC
rnacentral:rRNA from 1 species